UACGUAGGGGGCGAGCGUUAUCCGGAAUUACUGGGCGUAAAGGGUGCGUAGGCGGCCUUUUAAGUCAGAUGUGAAAGACUACGGCUUAACCGUAGUUAGCAUUUGAAACUAAAAGGCUUGAGUGCAGGAGAGGAGAGUGGAAUUCCUAGUGUAGCGGUGAAAUGCGUAGAUAUUAGGAGGAACACCAGUGGCGAAGGCGACUCUCUGGACUGCAACUGACGCUGAGGCACGAAAGCGUGGGUAGCGAACAGGAUUAGAUACCCUGGUAGUCCACGCCGUAAACGAUGAGUGCUAGGUGUUGGUGGAGACAUCCAUCAGUGCCGCAGCUAACGCAUUAAGCACUCCGCCUGGGGAGUACGGUCGCAAGACUGAAACUCAAAGGAAUUGACGGGGACCCGCACAAGCAGCGGAGCAUGUGGUUUAAUUCGACGCAACGCGAAGAACCUUACCAGGGCUUGACAUCCCUCUGACCGGAUUAGAGAUAAUCCCUUACCUUCGGGUACAGAGGAGACAGGUGGUGCAUGGUU
rnacentral:rRNA from 1 species